CAGGAAACGACGACCUCUCAGAAAUGGCUGCUGAAGACUGUCCUGUGUACAACCUUGAAAGAAUAACGAUAAAGAAAAGGAAGGGAGUGAUCAUCGCCCUCAUACUGAAGCAGCUACAUCUCUUCGUCUCUAAGAGGAGACAGCAGCCAAUAUCAAUAUUUCAUAAACAAAUGAAAGCCUGGAUAUGGAGGCGAGCGUGGAAGUGGCCCUGGAGGGGGAGAGGGGAUCAAUGGAGGGAUAUAGCUGCGUACGCCGGUGUCUGCCAAUCCCGGCCCACGCAGGAUAAUGCCAUUACCCAUCAGCCCGAGUGAACAUCGACCAGCCUGCUGCUCUUUGAGUGAACUAAUCUGAUAAAAA